rnacentral:rRNA from 1 species
CCUACGGGAGGCAGCAGUGGGGAAUAUUGCACAAUGGGGGAAACCCUGAUGCAGCGACGCCGCGUGAGUGAAGAAGUAUUUCGGUAUGUAAAGCUCUAUCAGCAGGGAAGAAGCAAGACGGUACCUGACUAAUAAGCCCCGGCUAACUACGUGCCAGCAGCCGCGGUAAUCCGUAGGGGGCAAGCGGUAUCCGGAUGUACUGGGUGUAAAGGGAGCGUAGACGGUAUGGCAAGUCUGAAGUGAAAGCCCAGGGCUUAACCCUGGGACUGCUUUGGAAACUGUUAGACUAGAGUGCUGGAGAGGUAAGUGGAAUUCCUAGUGUAGGGGUGAAAUGCGUAGAUAUUAGGAGGAACACCAGUGGCGAAGGCGGCUUACUGGACAGUAACUGACGUUGAGGCUCGAAAGCGUGGGGAGCAAACAGGAUUAGAUACCCGGGUAGUC